AGAAGAGAGUGACAGAGAAUGUGGGAGUGAAAGUUUUUUUUUAUUUUUUUUAUUUUUUUUUUAAAUUAGAGAUAUGUUAGGAUUACAUAUUGUUGAGGCUUUGAAAAAAAAACAGCAAAAUUUGUUUGUGUGAAAUUACUUUUUUGCCCUAUAUUUCUUAUUUAUGUUAUGUUUUAAUUAGAGGGUUAACUUGGUAAUUUUAUAGGGUUUGGUUGACAAUGAGUGUUUUAUUAAUUAGUAGAGAAAAGAUACACACACUCUCUCUAAAUAAAACCUCUUACAUUUGACUUGAAAUAUAUAAGUUGUAUUUUUUAAAUUUUAGUUGUAGUUUUUAAAUUUAAGUUGUAUUUUUUAAAUUUUAGUUAUAGUUUUUAAAUUUAAAUUGUUGUAGUUUUUUAAUUUAAAUAAUAAAUUAUGUUUGGCUAUAUAGCUCUCGAUUGGAGAUUAUUUUUAAUGACAGGACUAAAACAAGUCUUAUGACUCUUUGACCCUCGAUUGGAUAUGUUAAGAAAUAUGGCAUUGCAUUGUUCAUUAAAAUAUUUAUUUCUUGGAGGAUUAGAGGAUUAAAACGAACCAUCUGGUUACCUUUCAGUUGGAGAUGGCCUUAAUUUAGUUGAAUUGAAGAGUUCAUAGGGUUUCUCACCCUUAUUCUUCCUGGACAGAGAUCCUCUCCGGAUCAGUCCUGUAGCGAUCUGGCGGAUCCAUUGAUCGCAACCGCACGAUAUAAAUCCAACGGUCAAAAUUUACAAUAUGUUUCACGCAAAACGAGGUCGUCUCCGCUCUCUUUUUCUGUUGCUUCUUCCCCUUCCCUCUUCGGCAUGUCUGCAAGAAUUCUCUCUUCCCAUGCCUACAAAUUCUUGCUCCACAUGCUCAAAUUUCUGCAGCCCAAUUGAUCAAGAGGAGGGGAGACAGAGAACCUUGGUUGCCGGAAAAAUCCAAGGAAAUGGAAUGAAGAUUAUACCUUUGGAGACGAGAGGGAACUGACAUGGCCAUGAAGGGAGGAACUUUCAGGGAUGGAGAAGGAAGAAGCGGACGACGUGAUUGCAGGAGAAGAAAUUUUUUGGCCGUUGGAUUUGUACCAACGACUAUGAUCAAUGGAUCCGCAAGAUCCCCACGGGACUGAUCCGGAGAGGAUCUCAGUCCAUUCUUCCCAUAUGCAAUAAUAAUCUAUAGGUCUACUCUACAUAUCCUUCAUAA